rnacentral:tRNA from 1 species
GGGGCAGUAGCUCAGUUGGGAGAGCGUUGCACUGGCAGUGCAAAGGUCAGGGGUUCGAGCCCCCUCUGCUCCA